UCUAUUUCUUAAUGCAAUUGACAAUUGUUUUGAUGCCUAAGGCCCAAGGACGUUCCUUGGCAAUUUGUUAAUUAGUAAUUAAUUAGAGGACGUUCCCUAAUUGGUUUAAUCAUAAGGAGAGAUAAUGAUGGUGAGAAGCGUCUUCCAUCUCCAUAACUAAUCUAUUGAAUCAACCCAAAAGAACAAAGUGUCUGUGAUCAAUCCCAACAACUAAAGUGGAUCCAAUACUUCAACUAGAACUUUCUCAUUAUUGAUUACUCUUUAUUUUAUUAUUUGC
rnacentral:lncRNA from 1 species